rnacentral:tRNA from 1 species
ACCCCCGUAGCUCAGUGGAAGAGUAUCGGCAUCCGAAGCCGAUGGUCGGUGAGUUCAAGUCUCCCCGGGGGUGCCC